ACCGCAGCAGCCGGGUGUGAGGGCAGGGCUGGGUAUUCGGAGACCUUCAGAAGCCUGGUCACGGAGGGCCUGCCCAGGGACCCCCCUGCCUCUCCCCCCAGGCCCCACGGCGGCAGAGACUCACAGGCAAAGAACUGCCAGGGCUGGUAGGUGCGGCCGAAGUCCAUGGACCGCUCCAGCACCCAGAGGUCCGGCCGGGGUGAGUUGGCAAACUUGAUGAGGACGUAGGCCACGUGGAAGACCUGUGGGCCGAGAGGGCGUCAGGGGAGCCAGGGGCGCCUGGAUUCCCAUGCUCCCAGGGGCCUGGCUCAUUUUCUGCCCCUCAGCAGGUACGCCCGGGAACAGCUGGGUGCUGUUGGCCAGGUAGGCCUGGAAGCCUAGGGCCCCAAGGGGGAGAGUGGGGUCCCCCAGAGCUGCACAAGACCUACAGUCACCCCACUGGACUGAGCCGGACUGAGACUGCUGUGGGGUCCCCCAUGAAAAGACCACAGACCCCUCAUAGCUUCAGCCCUUGGGGGCACCAGCUGCCCAGACUCCAGACAGGGGCCCUGGACAGCUGUCCU
rnacentral:lncRNA from 1 species